rnacentral:rRNA from 1 species
CCUACGGGUGGCAGCAGUGGGGAAUAUUGCACAAUGGGGGAAACCCUGAUGCAGCGACGCCGCGUGAGUGAAGAAGUAUUUCGGUACGUAAAGCUCUAUCAGCAGGGAAGAAAAAAAGUCCUUUGGACUUUGGACGGUACCUGACCAAGAAGCCCCGGCUAACUACGUGCCAGCAGCCGCGGUGAUACGUAGGGGGCAAGCGUUAUACGGAUUUACGGGGUGGAAAGGGAGCGUAGACGGCAGCGCAAGUCUGGAGUGAAAUGCCGGGGCCCAACCCCGGACCUGCUUUGGAAACUGUGCAGCUGGAGUGCAGGAGAGGUAAGCGGAAUUCCUAGUGUAGCGGUGAAAUGCGUAGAUAGUAGGAGGAACACCAGUGGCGAAGGCGGCUUACUGGACUGUAACUGACGUUGAGGCUCGAAAGCGUGGGGAGCAAACAGGAUUAGAUACCCUUGUAGUC